CUGGCUCAGGAUGAACGCUAGCGGCAGGCUUAACACAUGCAAGUCGAGGGGCAUCGGGAGUAGCAAUACUGCCGGCGACCGGCGCAAGGGUGCGUAACGCGUGAGCAACAUGCCCGUAUCAGGGGGAUAAUCCAUGGAAACGUGGUCUAAUACCCCAUAGUAAUUAUGUAAGGCAUCUUAUAUAAUUUAAAGCUUUGGUGGAUACGGAUUGGCUCGCGUGACAUUAGCUGGAUGGUAAGGUAACGGCUUACCAUGGCUACGAUGUCUAGGGGUUCUGAGAGGAAGGUCCCCCACACUGGAACUGAGACACGGUCCAGACUCCUACGGGAGGCAGCAGUGAGGAAUAUUGGACAAUGGAUGGAAAUCUGAUCCAGCCAUGCCGCGUGCAGGAAGACGGCCCUAUGGGUUGUAAACUGCUUUUGUAUGGGAGCAAUAAGGGCUACGUGUAGUCCGAUGAGAGUACCAUACGAAUAAGCACCGGCUAACUCCGUGCCAGCCGCCGC
rnacentral:rRNA from 1 species